rnacentral:rRNA from 1 species
GAUGAACGCUGGCGGCGUGCCUAAUACAUGCAAGUCGAGCGAACGGACGAGAAGCUUGCUUCUCUGAUGUUAGCGGCGGACGGGUGAGUAACACGUGGAUAACCUACCUAUAGGACUGGGAUAACUUCGGGAAACCGGAGCUAAUACCGGAUAAUAUUUUGAACCGCAUGGUUCAAAAGUGAAAGACGGUCUUGCUGUCACUUAUAGAUGGAUCCGCGCUGCAUUAGCUAGCUGGUAAGGUAACGGCUUACCAAGGCAACGAUGCAUAGCCGACCUGAGAGGGUGAUCGGCCACACUGGAACUGAGACACGGUCCAGACUCCUACGGGAGGCAGCAGUAGGGAAUCUUCCGCAAUGGGCGAAAGCCUGACGGAGCAACGCCGCGUGAGUGAUGAAGGUCUUCGGAUCGUAAAACUCUGUUAUUAGGGAAGAACAUAUGUGUAAGUAACUGUGCACAUCUUGACGGUACCUACUCAGAAAGCCACGGCUAACUACGUG